AUCAUGCAGUCGAGCGGACUAAUGGGAGCUUGCUCCCAUUAGUUAGCGGCGGACGGGUGAGUAACACGUGGGCAACCUACCUGUAAGACUGGGAUAACUUCGGGAAACCGGAGCUAAUACCGGAUGACAUAAAGGAACUCCUGUUCCUUUAUUGAAAGAUGGCUUCGGCUAUCACUUACAGAUGGGCCCGCGGCGCAUUAGCUAGUUGGUGAGGUAACGGCUCACCAAGGCGACGAUGCGUAGCCGACCUGAGAGGGUGAUCGGCCACACUGGGACUGAGACACGGCCCAGACUCCUACGGGAGGCAGCAGUAGGGAAUCUUCCGCAAUGGACGAAAGUCUGACGGAGCAACGCCGCGUGAGCGAUGAAGGCCUUCGGGUCGUAAAGCUCUGUUGUUAGGGAAGAACAAGUGCUAGUUAAAUAAGCUGGCACCUUGACGGUACCUAACCAGAAAGCCACGGCUAACUACGUGCCAGCAGCCGCGGUAAUACGUAGGUGGCAAGCGUUGUCCGGAAUUAUUGGGCGUAAAGCGCGCGCAGGCGGUUUCUUAAGUCUGAUGUGAAAGCCCCCGGCUCAACCGGGGAGGGUCAUUGGAAACUGGGAAACUUGAGUGCAGAAGAGGAAAGUGGAAUUCCAAGUGUAGCGGUGAAAUGCGUAGAGAUUUGGAGGAACACCAGUGGCGAAGGCGACUUUCUGGUCUGUAACUGACGCUGAGGCGCGAAAGCGUGGGGGAGCAAACAGGAUUAGAUACCCUGGUAGUCCACGCUGUAAACGAUGAGUGCUAAGUGUUAGAGGGUUUCCGCCCUUUAGUGCUGAAGUUAACGCAUUUAAGCACUCCCGCCCUGGGGGAGUACGGUCGCCAAGACUGAAACUCAAAAGAAAUUGACGGGGGGCCCCGCACAAAGUGGUGGAAGCAUGUUGGUUUAAUUU
rnacentral:rRNA from 1 species